GACGAACGCUGGCGGCGUGCUUAACACAUGCAAGUCGAACGGAAAGGCCCUGCUUUUGUGGGGUGCUCGAGUGGCGAACGGGUGAGUAACACGUGAGUAACCUGCCCUUGACUUUGGGAGAACUUCAGGAAACUGGGGCUAAUACCGGAUAGGAGCUCCCGCUGCAUGGUGGGGGUUGGAAAGUUUCGGCGGUUGGGGAUGGACUCGCGGCUCAUCAGCUUGUUGGUGGGGUAGUGGCUUACCAAGGCUUUGACGGGUAGCCGGCCUGGGAGGGGGACCGGCCACCUUGGGACUGAGAUACGGCCCAGACUCGUACGGGAGGCAGCGGUGGAGAAUAUUGCACAGUGGGCGGAAGCCUGAUGCGGCAACGCCGCGUGCGGGAUGACGGCCUUCGGGUUGUAAACCACUUUCGCCUGUGACGAGGCGUGAGUGACGGUAAUGGGUAAAGAAGCACCGGCUAACUACGUG
rnacentral:rRNA from 1 species